rnacentral:lncRNA from 1 species
UGUGAACGCAUGCCCCUGGGUACAAGCAGCCGUUGGUACAAGGAGCUCUGCUCCUUGACACUGAACUAGUUAGAGCACAACCCUUGACUACAGGCCCCUGCGCCUCAGUGCUGGCUCAGUGCCUUUUCAAUGUUGUCUCUAACCAUGUCACAUCCAGAAAGCAGGUUUGACGAGAGACGCUGCGAGGGGGCUUGAUCACGUGACUUUUCUAAAGCGAUGAAGUGAGAAUCCAAGGCUGCGUCCACACUCACAUAGCUAGCCAUGUUCUGCAGGGAGAGAAUUCAUCACCCUCAGGAAGUUGGAUAGAGUUUUGAUCCUGUAUCAUCGUAGUCAUUGUCGUCAUUGACAUCAUCAUCAUCACAGAUGCCAAACGAGUCCAUGGUAGAGAAGUCCUUCUGAGUGUGGAACUUACUUUCGUCCAAAAGCAUGAACUUGACACUUGGAUCCACAAGGAAAAACCAGGCCCGCCAGGCAGGAAGGUCCACUCCCUCUCUGAUGGAGAGGCUCGUCCUGGAGCAGAUGACCUUGGAGAUUGCAUUAGAAUAAAAACAAAGAACACUUCCUGACCAGAUGGCUCUCCUCGUGUGGUGACGGGAUUGAGAGAUGGGACCACCAUGCAGCACCAAAGCCUUAAGAAAGACAGGCGGGAUCUUACCCCACCCCAAUACUUCCUCUGUUCAAGCCUAAAGCUCAAAUCAGCAUCCUGAAGAUGACUGUAGACAGCCUUCUUCUGUUUCUUGUCUGUUUUAGCUUGUAAUGGCUGCUGAAUAUAGGAUUCUGCCCUAACACUCUGGUUACAGUGUCUCUGACUGACCAGCCAGCUGCUGGGUACUGGCUACUGU